rnacentral:rRNA from 1 species
AUUGAACGCUGGCGGCAGGCCUAACACAUGCAAGUCGAACGAGUGGCGGACGGGUGAGUAAUGUCUGGGAACCUGCCUGAUGGAGGGGGAUAACUACUGGAAACGGUAGCUAAUACCGCAUACCAUCGGCUUUGCCCAGACUGGAUUAGCCAGUAGGUGGGGUAAAGGCUCAACUAGGCCACGAUCCCUAGAUGGUCUGAGAGGAUGACCAGCCACACUGGAACUGAGACACGGUCCAUACUCCUACGGGAGGCAGCAGUGGGGAAUAUUGCACAAUGGGCGCAAGCCUGAUGCAGCGAUGCCGCGUGUAUGAAGAAGGCCUUCUGGUUGUAAAGUACUUUCAGCGGGGAGGCGUUACCCGCAGAAGAAGCACCGGCUAACUCCGUGCCAGCAGCCGCGGUAAUAC